UACGUAGGGUGCAAGCGUUGUCCGGAAUUAUUGGGCGUAAAGGGCUCGUAGGCGGUUUGUCACGUCGGGAGUGAAAACUCGGGGCUCAACCCCGAGCCUGCUUCCGAUACGGGCAGACUAGAUGGUAUGCAGGGGAGAAUGGAAUUCCUGGUGUAGCGGUGAAAUGCGCAGAUAUCAGGAGGAACACCGGUGGCGAAGGCGGUUCCUGCUUCGGCGAUUACCUGACGGCUAGAGGAA
rnacentral:rRNA from 1 species